CAUCCGGCCCGUCCCCACGUGUGAGCGGCGGGGCGAGAGGCGGCGGAGAUGUCGGUGUCGGUGGCCGCGGGCAACCUGCCCAUGCGGCUGCUGCACAGGAAGAUCCACAAGCGCAACCUGAAGCUGCGGCAGCGCAACCUGAAGCAGCGGGAGGCGGAGGGGACAGCCGAGGCGGCAUCGCCCGCACCCCCGGAGGAGGAGGAGGAGGUGGAGGAGGCGGCCGGAGCGGCCUCGGACGGUGCCGGUCCCGCAGAUGCUGCCGGUCCCCACGGCGGGGAGGAGGAGAAGAAGAGGAAGAAGAAGAAGAAGAAGAGGAAAGCGGCGGCUAAUGCGGAAAGCGAUACGGCAAGUAAAAAAGUGAAAACUGAAGAAAAUGGGUCUGCGGAGGCAGAAGAUGGAGAUAAGGAGGAUUCCGGAGAGAAAGAAGGGGAAGAGGAGGAGGGGGAGGAGGAUGAAGUGCCCAGUUUACCACUAGGUGUAACAGGUGCUUUUGAAGACAAUUCUUUUACUUCCCUGGAUGGUCUUGUCAGUGAGAACACACUGAAAGGCAUAAAGGACAUGGGUUUUACGCAUAUGACCGAAAUUCAGCAUAAAAGUAUUAAGCCCCUUCUGGAAGGCAGGGAUAUUUUAGCAGCUGCAAAAACAGGCAGUGGCAAGACACUUGCGUUUCUUAUUCCUGCAGUAGAGCUCAUCUACAAGUUAAAAUUCAUGCCCAGGAACGGAACGGGUGUUAUUAUUCUUUCUCCUACUCGAGAGCUUGCUAUGCAAACUUAUGGAGUUCUUAAAGAACUUAUGAACCAUCAUGUUCACACCUAUGGCCUGAUAAUGGGGGGCAGUAACAGAUCAGCAGAAGCACAGAAACUUGGAAAUGGAAUCAACAUCAUUGUAGCGACACCAGGAAGGCUGCUGGAUCAUAUGCAGAACACUCCAGGUUUCAUGUACAAGAACUUGCAGUGUUUGGUAAUUGAUGAGGCAGAUCGUAUCUUGGAGGUUGGAUUUGAAGAAGAAAUGAAACAGAUCAUAAAACUUCUACCAAAACGCAGACAGACGAUGCUUUUUUCUGCCACGCAAACCAGAAAGGUUGAAGAUCUGGCAAAGAUUUCUCUGAAGAAAGAGCCACUGUAUGUUGGGGUUGAUGAUAACAAGGAGACAGCAACAGUAGAUGGUCUUGAACAGGGGUAUGUAGUGUGUCCAUCUGAAAAAAGAUUCCUUUUGCUCUUCACAUUCCUCAAGAAGAACCGGAAGAAGAAAUUAAUGGUAUUCUUUUCUUCAUGUAUGUCAGUGAAGUACCAUUAUGAAUUACUCAACUAUAUUGAUCUGCCUGUUUUGGCCAUUCAUGGCAAGCAGAAACAAACCAAACGUACUACAACAUUUUUCCAGUUCUGUAACGCAGAAUCUGGGAUACUGCUGUGCACUGACGUGGCUGCCAGAGGACUGGAUAUUCCUGAAGUUGACUGGAUCGUCCAGUAUGACCCUCCAGAUGAUCCAAAAGAAUAUAUUCAUCGUGUUGGUAGAACUGCCAGAGGCAUAAAUGGUAGAGGACACGCUCUGCUCAUUUUACGACCAGAAGAACUGGGCUUUCUUCGUUACCUAAAACAAGCCAGGGUACCCUUAAGUGAAUUCGAAUUUUCGUGGUCAAAAAUUUCAGACAUCCAGUCUCAGCUGGAGAAACUGAUUGAGAAGAACUACUUCCUUCACAAGUCAGCCCAGGAAGCCUACAAAGCUUACAUUAGAGCUUAUGACUCCCAUUCUCUGAAGCAGAUCUAUGAUGUCAAUAACUUGGAUCUUCCCAAAGUCAGCCUCUCAUUUGGUUUUAAAGUUCCUCCAUUUGUCGACCUCAAUGUUAACAGCAACCAUGGCAGAAGACUGCAGAAGAGAGGUGGAGGUGGGGGAUUUGGUUACCAGAAAUCAAAGAACGUCCACAAAGCUAAAAUCUUCAAACACAUUAGCAAGAAAUCGGACAGUCGGCAAUUUUCUCGUUAAUCAUACAUUAAAACAGCUUCUGGCAUUGGAAUAGAUUACCUUGAUCAAGACCAUCUGACAGUUACUUACAAUUUAAACUGCUCUGUUAACAUUUUUAGGGGUCUUUAUGGUAUUGUUUCUGGGAUCAUCUUUUAUCUUUCACUUCAAGAAGACACUUUGGAAGGGAGACUGAAGAUAGGAAUGGAGAAUAUGGCCCUCUAAUUUUUUCAUACUUAGUUGUAAGGAAGAAGAUAGUUGAAUAUAUUUGUCUUAAGUCAGUAAUACAAAGCUUUUUAUUAAAGAAAAAAUACUUUAAGUUUUUAUGGAAGAAUUUGCUUUAUGUUUACCCUUUUUUCUAUGCACACCUCUGAAAAUUAUUGAAGUAGACAACACAAGGACAGAAUAUGGUGUGAGAUUAAAAAUAUUUGCUCACAUGAAUCAUUGCAAGGGUUUCUAAUGCUACAGAACUCUGCUUUGUCCAUCAAAUAUGCUGAAGAAUAUAGGAAGAUUCCUUUAAAACAACAUACCUAUGAAUAAUUAUGGCUUUAUGAGUUUGUGAUUAAUUUCAAUUAUGGUAUCUGUAUAACAAUUGACAGCAUCGAAGAUAAAAAAAUCUCUUACACCACAUCUGGCGCAUGUUUAAGGCUGUUUCUUUUAAUGUGAUAAAAUGGUAACA